rnacentral:lncRNA from 1 species
CAAUCCUUAUCAGUAGAUCUGGACUCAGUUUGACCGCUGCCUUCUUUCAGACAGUAGAAUUGGUAUGAACUCAAACAUAUAAACACACGCAAACAUUUCCUUUUAAUUUACUGGUAAAUUGUUCUUUUCAUCUUGCUAUUACGCCUUGAGAAUUCAACAUCAGCUUUUUAGUUUUUACUUAAGAUUUUUUUUUUUUUUUUUUUUUUUUUUAAAACUGGAAAGCAAAUUAGGGAAGAAAGGGUCAUAUCUUUGAGUGCUGCAAAUCUUAUAUGUAAGUCAAUAUGGAUGUGCAUUUAAAGAAUUUGUUCUCUAGAUUUCAAGAACAAUUCGGGUCUGGCCCGGGACUCGGUCCUGGAUCCGGAGCAUGCCUUAUGAAGGUGGAUGGCAUUGCACCACCUUUCAUUAAGUCACUAUAUAAAGCUGCGGCAGCCCUGUAUAGGACUGAUCCGUGGAGGCGGUUGCGCCCGGGCCAUCUUUUUGGUGUUAAGGCAGGAAAGGAUUCAGAUUGGUAUGGUAGAAAACAGCAAUUUCCAUGCAUUCAAUUUAUUGGGGGAGAUGGUGGAGAUUUAGGGUUUCACAUGUUUAAGUCUGAAAUUGAUGCAAAGAAAAUGACAGGCUCGAGGGAGACGAUUAGGGUUCCGAAUGUAGAGCUUCUGAGAGUGACUUUCGAGGCGGAGUCUGUGAUGUUUCCUUCGAACAAGAGAAUGAUCAAAUCGUUGUCUUUAGAGGUGUCUGGUGAAAAUCGGUUUCCGGUUAUUGAUGUGGCUCGAUGUACUGAAUCUGGUGAGAUUCAGUUUAGAAAUCCAACGCUUGAAGAGCUUAGAUUUGUUUACGCCUUUAUGAAGGCGAUUUUGUUACUGCACCCCCUGCUUCGACAAGAUUUUGAAACAGGUCCAAAGUGGUCUAGAUUGAUAAGUUUUCAGCCAUUUAUUGAAACAGUUGAUGUUCAAUGGCCUGCAGAAAUGGCCAGAGGGAACGAUCUUGUUGCAGUUACUAUCUCACACCCUCCCGGCCAUGGGUACGAGGAAAAGAAUAGUUCAAGAGGAUUUGAGGAUAAGUAUAGUUCAAGAAGCUCGACUCCUACGAAGUAUUCAGAAUCGCCAAGAGAGGAGACAUUUUAUGAAGUCGAAGUAAAUUCAAUGAUUAGCUUGAGGCAAUGCUCAAUGUGCGAAAAAGAGAUUGAAGAGGAGCAAUCACUUUGUUGUGGACGUUGUCGUGCAGUAAUUUACUGCACUUCUCUCUGCCAGCAGCAGCACUGGAAUGUAGCACACGAGGACACGUGUGGACUUUACAAGGCAAUGAUGGAAAGGGAAGAGGAGUUGGCAAUGAAGAUCUUCACGUUUGAUUGUUCAGUCGAACAACCCUGCAAAUGGCUCGAAUCACUGGGAAUACACCGAAAGGGCAUGUGGAGAAGGAAAUGCCAUUGUUAUUCUCACUGUCCAUUUGGCCUACUUCCUGUUAAAGAUGGACUUUGGGAUUCAUGGGGUAGCCUAGAUGAUGGCGAAUAUCCUCAUGAUUCACCUUUCGACAAUAAUCUAAGGGAUGGACUGUUGAGCCCAAUAAUUCUUUCUGGUUGGUUUGAGUACUAUAGCCUUCGCUCGCUGCCACUCUCAAGCCCUGUGGCUGACAUUCUUUCUCACCCCCUGACAUUAUAUCAUAUACUGACCGCACUUAACAUCAGUUCUAAAAAUCUUUUACUCAAAGGCAAAGAGGUGAUCCUUCAUUACCUUGGACCCGAAGGGGAACUGGAUUGGAUUCCAGCAUUUGCUGAAAUCGGUCAUUUACUCAAUGGUGUUGGCAAUAUACAGAUAGCUAUGGUAGGACCUGGUGUCCCAACAAAUUUGUCCGGGACAACUUCCGGAAUAAGUAGCCGAGUGAGGGUAAACCUAAUACAAGGUGUUUAUCAGGAGGUGGCCACCUACCUUCCUACUCCCCAUCUAAUUGUGGCUUUAAAUAGUGGAUUAGAGACCUAUUCAAGUUGGGGUGGAGCCCUUGACUUGAUAAAGUCUAUGAAUACUCCAGCUUUUUUCACGGAAGAGUCUGAACUCUCAUGCUCUAACGCAAAGCAAUGGCUUUUCGCUGCUGGGCUUUAUAUUAGCUAUCCGGUGACACCAAAUCCUUUCCGUUCUCCGGUGAGGAAUUAUGGGCCUUUCAACAAUCUUCCGUCAUACAGCAAUGGUUUCGUGUUUGGAGUAAAUACGUAAUCUACAAGUUUGCAGGGAUCAAGCAGAAGUUUCUUGUUGUAUUUCCCACUUUCUGGUUUUCAGACAACGGCACUGGAUUGGUAUCAAUAUACUUAAUAGAUAUCUGUAUUUUGUAUCUUACACUGGUCUUCGGUCAUAAUCAAUUCUUAUUUUCCAAGUAUUGUUAUGAAAUAUCAAACUGUUGAAUUGUAGGUAACCAGUUCUUAAGCAGUUUAAUUUUUACUUUCCGUUCUUGUUAUUAAG